AAGUCGUAACAAGGUUUCCGUAGGUGAACCUGCGGAAGGAUCAUUACCGAGUUAGGGUCCUCUGGGCCCGAUCUCCCAACCCUUUGUUUAUUAUACCUUUUGUUGCUUCGGCGGGCUCGUUGUCUCACGACGACCGCCGGAGGACCGCUUAACGGCGUCCUCUGGUCCGCGCCCGCCGAUGGCCCCAAAAUCUCAAAAUUCUUGUAUGAAUCGUGUCUUUACCUAAGUCUUGAUUUAAUCAAAAACAAAACUUUCAACAACGGAUCUCUUGGUUCUG
rnacentral:misc_RNA from 1 species